UUAACAUGGGACCCUAUGGGAAAAACAUACAAACGUCUUCUUUCAGAGAACCACUGAAUGGAAUGAAACCAAACAUGGCAUGAAUGUUUCUUAUGAGGUGCUGACCGAGUGUUGUUACUUUGAAGCCGAUCCAUAAUCCAAGAUGGCUGCCUGCAGAGGACUUAGUUUAACAAGGGACCCUAUGAGAAAUACAUACAAAUGUCUUCUUUUAAAGAACCACUGAAUGGAAUGAAACCAAACAUGGCAAGAAUGUUCCUUAUGAGGUGCUGACCAAGUGUUGUUACUUUGAAGCUGAUCCAUAAUUCAAGAUGGCCGCCAGCAGGGGACUUAGUUUAACAUUGGACCCUAUGGGAAAUACAUACAAAUGUCUUCUUUUAGAGAACCACUGAAUGGAAUGAAACCAAACAUGGCAUGAAUGUUUCUUAUGAGGUGCUGACAGAGUGUUGUUACUUUGAAGCCGAUCCAUAAUCCAAGAUGGCUGCCUGCAGGGGACUUAGUUUAACAAGCGACCCUAUGAGAAAUACAUCCAAAUGUCUUCUUUUAAAGAACCACUGAAUGGAAUGAAACCAAACAUGGCAAGAAUGUUCCUUAUGAGGUGCUGACCAAGUGUUGUUACUUUGAAGCUGAUCCAUCAUCCAAGAUGGCCGCCAGCGGGGGACUUAGUUUAACAUAUAUAGGACCCUAUGGGAAAUACAUACAAAUGUCUUCUUUUAGAGAACCACUGAAUGCAAUGAAACCAAACAUGGCAUGAAUGUUCCUUAUGAGGUGCUGACCAAGUGUUGUUACUUUGUAGCGGAUCCAUCAUCCAAGAUGGCCGCCAGCGGGGGACUUAGUUUAACAUAGGACUCUAUGGGAAAUACAUACAAAUGUCUUCUUUUAGAGAACCACUGAAUGGAAUGAAACCAAACAUGGCAUGAAUGUUUCUUAUGAGGUGCUAACCGAGUGUUGUUACUUUGAAGCCGAUCCAUAAUCCAAGAUGGCCGCCAGCGGGGGACUUAGUUUAACAUAGGACCCUAUGGGAAAUACAUACAAAUGUCUUCUUUUAGAGAACCACUGAAUGGAAUGAAACCAAACAUGGUAUGAAUGUUCCUUAUGAGGUGCUGACCGAGUGUUGUUACUUUGAAGCCGAUCCAUAAUCCAAGAUGGCCGCCAGCGGGGGACUUAGUUUAACAUGGGACCCUAUGAGAAAUACAUACAAAUGUCUUCUUUUAGAGAACCACUGAAUGGAAUGAAACCAAACAUGGCAUGAAUGUUUCUUAUGAGGUGCUGACUGAGUGUUGUUACUUUGAAGCCGAUCCAUAAUCCAAGAUGGCCGCCAGCGGGGGACUUAGUUUAACAUGGGACCCUAUGGGA